UACGUAGGUGGCAAGCGUUGUCCGGAAUUAUUGGCGUAAAGCGCGCGCAGGCGGUCCUUUAAGUCUGAUGUGAAAGCCCACGGCUCAACCGUGGAGGGUCAUUGGAAACUGGGGGACUUGAGUGCAGAAGAGGAAAGCGGAAUUCCACGGUGUAGCGGUGGAAAUUGCGGUAGAGAAUGUGGAGAACACCAGUGGCGAAGGCGGCGUUUCUGGUCGUGUAAACUGACGCUGGAGGCGCGAAAGCGUGGGAGCAA
rnacentral:rRNA from 1 species